UUCACAUAACCUCCGAGUGUUUCAUACCUCUUCCGAUUCCCCUCCCACUCCCGUCCAUCGCAAAGAAACGAUAAAAAGAGCUUAUUUGCGUUCUUCUCAGGUCGAAUCGAAAAUCAAGAUGGGAGCUCUCGCUUCACGUGAAGAGUUGUGAAUGAAUCGCUAAAGAAGCUUGGGCUUCUCUUGUUCAGCUUUAAUGUACCGUUGUAUCUCCUCCAACUAUUCCUUUCUUCUCCCAGCCUACCAACCCCCAGAGUGCAGGUGAAAAUACAUAAAGUGAAGGAACAAAGACAGAGAAUGAGGAGAUUUUGCGCCCUAAGAUAUGAAAUUGAUGCCGGAUGGGUUCGUCAUCGGGCUUCGGGAGUGGCCAUGAUUACUCUUUCAAGAUCCUGAUCAUCGGGAAUUCUGGAGUAGGGAAGAGUAGUUUGCUCUCAUCAGCUUUAUCUCCAACCAUGUGGAUGAUUUAACCCCCACCAUCGAUACAGCUAUAUUUCUAUUUAGUGGACUUUUUUGAAUCACUUGGGUCUAGAAGUAGUGGAUUUUUAGUUUGAGAUUGCUAUCAUUUUGAGCUCGGGUUUUGUUUAAAUGACAUUUUUAAGUUAUUGUGAGGGAAAAAGGAGGUUGGUUGAAUGUUUGGCAUUCGUCUAUUCAAUUGUUUAGCGCUCAUUUGAGUGGACGAUGUAAUUCGGUACAAUUUUUCUUAUGAAAAUGAUGGAUUAUUGGUUA